ACCGCUGCGCCACCAGGGAAGCCCGCAACCUCCUACAAGCCUGUUCCGGACUGUCACUUCUUGUAGCCGACCCUUCUUUAUUAUUUGUGGAAAAUUCUCCAUGUCUACAUCUGGAAUUGCUCAAAGAUGGAUCUGAGAACGCUGUCUGGGCUUGGUGCCAAGUGCUGGUAUUUCACAGCGGCGACCGCCUCACACGGGCUGUGGGAAG